rnacentral:sRNA from 12 species
AACCUAAACCAAGCAAUGUUUGGCAUGGUUUACAAAUCCACAAAGAGAAACAGCUCGUCAUGAGUACUUCUCUUUGUGGCCAAUGCUGGAAAACGGCGUUGGGUGACUCUCGGGCUGCC